GUUUCCGUAGUGUAGUGGUUAUCACGUCCGCCUCACACGCGGAAGGUCGCCGGUUCGAGCCCGGCCGGAAACA
rnacentral:tRNA from 1 species